rnacentral:tRNA from 1 species
UAAGAAAAUUCCAAAAAUCAACUGAUUUGCUAAUACAUCGAUUACCAUUUGCGAGAUUGAUAA